AGGGGACUCUGAUAACUCCGUCCACCUCACUCCAGCAACCCGCUCUCGUCGCCCUCUCCAGCUACACAGCUUCAGCAGCCCCGUUCGCCGUAUCUCCCAGGGGAACCUCCUGGGGAUUGAGUUGCAGCAGUUCAGCGCCCUGCGAGGCUGCUGUUUACCAAACCUCAGCGGUGGCCUCCGCGGGCAGAACUUAUCUCCUACAGCCACACAAGCCUCAGCCUCAGGGUUGUAGACGUCGAAGUGCAUGGAGACAUGUUCCAUUUGUACGCAGAGCACACCGAGCCUAGAGCCAGUACAGGGGGCAGCACCCAAGAUGACAACACUAAACCAGGAAGUAUCUGAGCUCACCACGGGCCUGCACCACCUGAUGGAUGCCUCAUACCCGUAUGGCGUCGAAAU